GUUGGUGGUCAUAGGACGGGUGUUCACCUCUUCCCAUUCCGAACAGAGAAGUUAAGCCCCGC
rnacentral:rRNA from 1 species